rnacentral:rRNA from 1 species
UACGUAGGGCGCAAGCGUUGUCCGGAAUUAUUGGGCGUAAAGAGCUCGUAGGUGGCUUGUCACGUCGGGUGUGAAAGCUUGGGGCUUAACUCCAGGUCUGCAUUCGAUACGGGCUGGCUAGAGGUAGGUAGGGGAGAACGGAAUUCCUGGUGUAGCGGUGAAAUGCGCAGAUAUCAGGAGGAACACCGGUGGCGAAGGCGGCACUCUGGGCCGAUACUGACACUGAGGAGCGAAAGCGUGGGGAGCGAACAGG